rnacentral:rRNA from 1 species
UACGUAGGGUGCAAGCGUUGUCCGGAAUUAUUGGGCGUAAAGAGCUCGUAGGCGGUCUGUCGCGUCGGCUGUGAAAACCCGAGGCUCAACCUCGGGCCUGCAGUCGAUACGGGCAAACUAGAGUACUGCAGGGGAGACUGGAAUUCCUGGUGUAGCGGUGAAAUGCGCAGAUAUCAGGAGGAACACCGGUGGCGAAGGCGGGUCUCUGGGCCGAUACUGACGCUGGAGGAGCGAAAAGCGUGGGGAGCGAACAGG